rnacentral:lncRNA from 1 species
GAUCCCGGAGGCGUGCGCUGAGAAGUGAGUCGUUUUCCCUUCUUCUGUUGCCCCCAACCUCACCCCAGACUUGAUUCAUCUGCACGCUCCAUGGAGGCUUGGUUUCAGAUGUACCAUCAUGCUGAUGUCUAUAGGCACAUCUCAGGAUCCUUUCAGACAGAGGAAUGGGAAGGUGAUGAUGUCCAAGCAAGGAGGAUGUGUUUUUCUCCAACUCUGAAGUCCCACUCAACAAGAGACUAUGGUUUGAAUGUGUGUGUCCUCUCCAGAAUUCAUGCUGAAACCUGAACACAAAUGUGAUAGUAUUAAGAGUAGGGCCUUUAGGAGGUCAUGAGGGUGGAUCCCUCGUGAAUAGGAUUAGUGACCUUAUGAACAGGCUGGAACUUAAAGUAAAAUAAAAAUUAAAAAACUAAAAAAGGUCUGGG